rnacentral:rRNA from 2 species
GGUCGAGCCUGGGCUCCGUGAGGGGGGAGAAGUCGUAACAAGGUAGCCGUAGGGGAACCUACGGCUCGAUCGCCUCCUAUCGCCGGAAACCCCGUCCGGGGGAACUAAAGGGGUGCCGGGCCUGCCUUUUUCUGUGGGCCGGUAGCUCAGCCUGGAAGAGCGCCGCCCUUGCAAGGCGGAGGCCCCGGGUUCAAAUCCCGGCCGGUCCACCACGAAGAGUGAUGCACGUCCCGAGCAGGGCUCGGGGCGGAAGGGCCCUAGGCCCCCUAAUAGGGGGUCGCGAUGAGGGCCACGCAUAGGCGGGUGGCCCAAGAAGUGCCUGGCCCCUCCGGUAGGGGGGCUGGACGCCAAGCCGCCCGGUGGAUGGCUCGGCUCGGGGCGCCGACGAAGGGCGAGGCAAGCUACGAUAAGCCCCGGCGAGGCGCAGGCAGCCGUCGAACCGGGGAUUCCCGAAUGGGACCUCCCGCGGCUUAUGCCGCACUCCGGGGCUUAUGCCCCGGAGGGGGAACGCGGGGAAUUGAAACAUCUUAGUACCCGCAGGAAAAGAAAGCAAAAGCGAUGCCGUGAGUAGGGGCGACCGAAAG